AGAACGAACGCUGGCGGCAGGCCUAACACAUGCAAGUCGAACGCCCCGCAAGGGGAGUGGCAGACGGGUGAGUAACGCGUGGGAACGUGCCCUAAGGUACGGAACAACUCCGGGAAACUGGAGCUAAUACCGUAUGUGCCCGAGAGGGGAAAGAUUUAUCGCCUUGGGAUCGGCCCGCGUCUGAUUAGCUAGUUGGUAGGGUAACGGCCUACCAAGGCUACGAUCAGUAGCUGGUCUGAGAGGAUGACCAGCCACACUGGGACUGAGACACGGCCCAGACUCCUACGGGAGGCAGCAGUGGGGAAUAUUGCGCAAUGGCGGAAGCCUGACGCAGCGACGCCGCGUGCGGGAUGAAGGCCUUCGGGUUGUAAACCGCUUUCACCAGGGGCGAAAGCGAGAGUGACGGUACCUGGGGAAGAAGCGCCGGCUAACUACGUGCCAGCAGCCGC
rnacentral:rRNA from 1 species